rnacentral:tRNA from 1 species
AAGACGUUAGUAAAAAAUUACACAACCUUGUCAAGGCUGAAUUAUAGGUUAAAACCCUUUACGACUUA